UGCAGUCGAGCGGGCCUUUCGGGGUCAGCGGCGAACGGGUGAGUAACGCGUGGGAACGUGCCCUCUGGUUCGGAAUAACUCAGGGAAACUUGAGCUAAUACCGGAUACGCCCUUUUGGGGAAAGGCUUGCUGCCGGAGGAUCGGCCCGCGUCUGAUUAGCUAGUUGGUGAGGUAACGGCUCACCAAGGCGACGAUCAGUAGCUGGUCUGAGAGGAUGAUCAGCCACACUGGGACUGAGACACGGCCCAGACUCCUACGGGAGGCAGCAGUGGGGAAUAUUGGACAAUGGGCGCAAGCCUGAUCCAGCCAUGCCGCGUGAGUGAUGAAGGCCUUAGGGUUGUAAAGCUCUUUUAUCCGGGACGAUAAUGACGGUACCGGAGGAAUAAGCCCCGGCUAACUUCGUGCCAGCAGCCGCGGUAAUACGAAGGGGGCUAGCGUUGCUCGGAAUCACUGGGCGUAAAGGGCGCGUAGGCGGCGUUUUAAGUCGGGGGUGAAAGCCUGUGGCUCAACCACAGAAUGGCCUUCGAUACUGGGACGCUUGAGUAUGGUAGAGGUUGGUGGAACUGCGAGUGUAGAGGUGAAAUUCGUAGAUAUUCGCAAGAACACCGGUGGCGAAGGCGGCCAACUGG
rnacentral:rRNA from 1 species